UUAAGCGACUAAGCGUACACGGUGGAUGCCCUGGCAGUCAGAGGCGAUGAAGGACGUGCUAAUCUGCGAUAAGCGUCGGUAAGGUGAUAUGAACCGUUAUAACCGGCGAUUUCCGAAUGGGGAAACCCAGUGUGAUUCGACACACUAUCAUUAACUGAAUCCAUAGGUUAAUGAGGCGAACCGGGGGAACUGAAACAUCUAAGUACCCCGAGGAAAAGAAAUCAACCGAGAUUCCCCCAGUAGCGGCGAGCGAACGGGGAGGAGCCCAGAGCCUGAAUCAGUGUGUGUGUUAGUGGAAGCGUCUGGAAAGGCGCGCGAUACAGGGUGACAGCCCCGUACACAAAAAUGCACAUACUGUGAGCUCGAUGAGUAGGGCGGGACACGUGGUAUCCUGUCUGAAUAUGGGGGGACCAUCCUCCAAGGCUAAAUACUCCUGACUGACCGAUAGUGAACCAGUACCGUGAGGGAAAGGCGAAAAGAACCCCGGCGAGGGGAGUGAAAAAGAACCUGAAACCGUGUACGUACAAGCAGUGGGAGCCUCUUAAUGGGGUGACUGCGUACCUUUUGUAUAAUGGGUCAGCGACUUAUAUUCUGUAGCAAGGUUAACCGAAUAGGGGAGCCGAAGGGAAACCGAGUCUUAACUGGGCGUUAAGUUGCAGGGUAUAGACCCGAAACCCGGUGAUCUAGCUAUGGGCAGGUUGAAGGUUGGGUAACACUAACUGGAGGACCGAACCGACUAAUGUUGAAAAAUUAGCGGAUGACUUGUGGCUGGGGGUGAAAGGCCAAUCAAACCGGGAGAUAGCUGGUUCUCCCCGAAAGCUAUUUAGGUAGCGCCUCGUGAAUUCAUCUCCGGGGGUAGAGCACUGUUUCGGCAAGGGGGUCAUCCCGACUUACCAACCCGAUGCAAACUGCGAAUACCGGAGAAUGUUAUCACGGGAGACACACGGCGGGUGCUAACGUCCGUCGUGAAGAGGGAAACAACCCAGACCGCCAGCUAAGGUCCCAAAGUCAUGGUUAAGUGGGAAACGAUGUGGGAAGGCCCAGACAGCCAGGAUGUUGGCUUAGAAGCAGCCAUCAUUUAAAGAAAGCGUAAUAGCUCACUGGUCGAGUCGGCCUGCGCGGAAGAUGUAACGGGGCUAAACCAUGCACCGAAGCUGCGGCAGCGACGCUUAUGCGUUGUUGGGUAGGGGAGCGUUCUGUAAGCCUGUGAAGGUGGCCUGUGAGGGUUGCUGGAGGUAUCAGAAGUGCGAAUGCUGACAUAAGUAACGAUAAAGCGGGUGAAAAGCCCGCUCGCCGGAAGACCAAGGGUUCCUGUCCAACGUUAAUCGGGGCAGGGUGAGUCGACCCCUAAGGCGAGGCCGAAAGGCGUAGUCGAUGGGAAACAGGUUAAUAUUCCUGUACUUGGUGUUACUGCGAAGGGGGGACGGAGAAGGCUAUGUUGGCCGGGCGACGGUUGUCCCGGUUUAAGCGUGUAGGCUGGUUUUCCAGGCAAAUCCGGAAAACCAAGGCUGAGGCGUGAUGACGAGGCACUACGGUGCUGAAGCGACAAAUGCCCUGCUUCCAGGAAAAGCCUCUAAGCAUCAGGUAACAUUAAAUCGUACCCCAAACCGACACAGGUGGUCAGGUAGAGAAUACCAAGGCGCUUGAGAGAACUCGGGUGAAGGAACUAGGCAAAAUGGUGCCGUAACUUCGGGAGAAGGCACGCUGAUAUGUAGGUGAAGCGACUUGCUCGUGGAGCUGAAAUCAGUCGAAGAUACCAGCUGGCUGCAACUGUUUAUUAAAAACACAGCACUGUGCAAACACGAAAGUGGACGUAUACGGUGUGACGCCUGCCCGGUGCCGGAAGGUUAAUUGAUGGGGUUAGCGGUAACGCGAAGCUCUUGAUCGAAGCCCCGGUAAACGGCGGCCGUAACUAUAACGGUCCUAAGGUAGCGAAAUUCCUUGUCGGGUAAGUUCCGACCUGCACGAAUGGCGUAAUGAUGGCCAGGCUGUCUCCACCCGAGACUCAGUGAAAUUGAACUCGCUGUGAAGAUGCAGUGUACCCGCGGCAAGACGGAAAGACCCCGUGAACCUUUACUAUAGCUUGACACUGAACAUUGAGCCUUGAUGUGUAGGAUAGGUGGGAGGCUUUGAAGUGUGGACGCCAGUCUGCAUGGAGCCGACCUUGAAAUACCACCCUUUAAUGUUUGAUGUUCUAACGUGGGCCCCUUACCGGGGUUGCGGACAGUGUCUGGUGGGUAGUUUGACUGGGGCGGUCUCCUCCUAAAGAGUAACGGAGGAGCACGAAGGUUGGCUAAUCCUGGUCGGACAUCAGGAGGUUAGUGCAAUGGCAUAAGCCAGCUUGACUGCGAGCGUGACGGCGCGAGCAGGUGCGAAAGCAGGUCAUAGUGAUCCGGUGGUUCUGAAUGGAAGGGCCAUCGCUCAACGGAUAAAAGGUACUCCGGGGAUAACAGGCUGAUACCGCCCAAGAGUUCAUAUCGACGGCGGUGUUUGGCACCUCGAUGUCGGCUCAUCACAUCCUGGGGCUGAAGUAGGUCCCAAGGGUAUGGCUGUUCGCCAUUUAAAGUGGUACGCGAGCUGGGUUUAGAACGUCGUGAGACAGUUCGGUCCCUAUCUGCCGUGGGCGCUGGAGAACUGAGGGGGGCUGCUCCUAGUACGAGAGGACCGGAGUGGACGCAUCACUGGUGUUCGGGUUGUCAUGCCAAUGGCACUGCCCGGUAGCUAAAUGCGGAAGAGAUAAGUGCUGAAAGCAUCUAAGCACGAAACUUGCCCCGAGAUGAGUUCUCCCUGACUCCUUGAGAGUCCUGAAGGAACGUUGAAGACGACGACGUUGAUAGGCCGGGUGUGUAAGCGCAGCGAUGCGUUGAGCUAACCGGUACUAAUGAACCGUGAGGCUUAACCUU
rnacentral:rRNA from 1 species